UGGAUUUUUGCUAAACAGUUAAUAGUAUUAUACUGCUUCUAAUAUGAUACAUGGAAGGUGCCCCCCGUUAAUAUUAUCCAUACUGACUUUCUUUAGAUACCAAGUACUUCACUUUCCCCUCUCUUUUAGGAAUACCAAGUACUUAGCAAUUAUGACAGGAUAUACAUGGAAGCCAAAGAAAAAGCUAAUUAAGGUAUAGAGCAUACAAGCAAUAUCUUAAUAGAAUGGCCGGCGAUGGUGAGCCGCAAACAAAACCGCACCAAAUUCUCGGGCGAGUUCGGUGCUAUCAAGGACAGGCUCUUUCUUUAAAGGAGUGUUAUGGACUGAAUUGGGGUAGUAGUAAUCAUUAGCUGGUGGUGGCCUCCUUUUCCAGUCCCGGCACUCAUCUAGUAUGUCAAAGGCCUCUCUGCCCAUCUUAGCAAGGUGAUCCCUUCGAGGAUCCAUGCACAAGAAUAGCUCAGGUCAGUACAAGAGCCAAGAGCUUCUGAAUUUUGGGUUGCUAGGACACUGUGGCUGGCCAUUGCUUCUUAUAUAGGCAUGAGUCUUGUC
rnacentral:lncRNA from 1 species